AGUGGCGGACGGGUGAGUAACGCGUGAGAAUCUGCCUUGGGGUCGGGGACAACCACUGGAAACGGUGGCUAAUACCGGAUAAGCCGAUUGGUGAAAGAUUUAUCGCCCGAAGAGGAGCUCGCGUCUGAUUAGCUAGUUGGUGAGGUAAGAGCUCACCAAGGCAGCGAUCAGUAGCUGGUCUGAGAGGACGAUCAGCCACACUGGGACUGAGACACGGCCCAGACUCCUACGGGAGGCAGCAGUGGGGAAUUUUCCGCAAUGGGCGAAAGCCUGACGGAGCAAGACCGCGUGAGGGAGGAAGGCUCUUGGGUUGUAAACCUCUUUUCUCAGGGAAGAAGCUCUGACGGUACCUGAGGAAUCAGCCUCGGCUAACUCCGUGCCAGCAGCCGCGGUAAUACGGAGGAGGCAAGCGUUAUCCGGAAUUAUUGGGCGUAAAGCGUCCGCAGGUGGCGAUUCAAGUCUGCUGUCAAAGCACGGGGCUUAACUCCGUAAAGGCAGUGGAAACUGAAUAGCUAGAGUGCCGUAGGGGUAGAGGGAAUUCCCGGUGUAGCGGUGAAAUGCGUAGAGAUCGGGAAGAACAUCGGUGGCGAAAGCGCUCUACUGGACGGCAACUGACACUCAGGGACGAAAGCUAGGGGAGCGAAUGGGAUUAGAUACCCC
rnacentral:rRNA from 1 species